CUUUAGUCCAACUUUCAAAUGCUGUCUAUUUUAGAUGCAUGCCUGCAUUUAUAUAGUUUAUGCCCAUAAUAUUGGAAUGAUUUAAAAUGCCAAAUCCUGGAACGCAGGCUUAGCUCUGAGCAGAAAACUGACAAGAAGUGGUCUAGAGCCCAUCCAAGAUACUCAUUAUUUUAUUAUUAUUUGUUUGUUUGUUGUACUAUUAAUCUCCCCAGUAAUUGAAAGUAGAUAUGAUUAUGAUUUGGAAGUAUCCAUGCAAUAUCUACAAAAAUAAAGAAAAUGAAUAUCACUUCCCAUGAGAAGACCUCAUAAACAAGUCUUCAGCAUGGCCUCUUGGACAACAACCCAGCAACAAGGGAAUAUCAGAUCUCCAGCCAAGUGGUCCAAGAACACUGCAGUUUAGUCUGUCACCAUGAAGGCUUCACGCUCAGCAUUUUGAAUAUUCUGAUGCCUUACCUUCAAAGUCAGCUGCAGUACACAUCAUUUCAAGGCCAUUUCUUUCUUAUGCAAGAACUCAUCUUUUCAGCAACUACAGAAUAGAAAGCGUAUUCUGAAAGUCCUUGGAUGCACUUGCAACUUUCACAAAAGAUACAAGCCUAAGUGGAAAAGAGCAAUGUAACCCAUAAUUUUGUCAUUUGUGGAAUGUUAGCUUAACAUUAGAAUCAAUGUUUUCUAGUGUUCAAACAUCACAAGCAAUCAAUGUAUUGUAUCUUAUUGUUUUAUCAUGUGCUUACUGGUAUCACAUGUACCGAAUGUACGUAUCCUUUGCUUCUAUACCCUAUAAAAAGACUUGAUUCCCCCCUCUUAAUGAACGCUUUUUGCUU